rnacentral:lncRNA from 1 species
UUUCCCAGACUCAGCUUUCAAUUAGGGUUUACGUUUUAUCAAACAUCUGAUUAUUUCUCCGCCGUUGGAGUCUACAAGGUAAUCGUCUUCGUAUUCUUUUUAGAUUAAACUUUAUCAAAUAUGUUUCAUAGCCCUAUCUCUCCUUCUCAAUGCGAAUGAAAUGCAUCUAUUUCCAAUUUUUAUGUUUUCCUGCGAAUUUACUAAGGCUUCGCUAAUCUGGUCGGCAUGAAUUUUAUUAGUUUCUGUCUGACUCGUUCCCUUGAAGCAAAAUUAAGCGUGCUGUUUUUAGAUUUUUAUAAUCUUCAAUCGAUUUUCAUUGGAGAACACUUAAGCAGCUACAUAUGUUCAUUAAGUUAAACAAAUGAAGCAUUCAAAAUCAAUCAUUAGUAACCACUUACGAUACUUUUCGGGAUUUUCUUUUUUAUUGUAAUUUGGGGAAAAUGUGACUGUGAUGAGCCAAUACAGACCUGUAAUGACUUGCGAAAAUGAUCGCAACUUAUGAACAUCUAAGGGACUGAGUCUCGAUUCCCUCAUUUUAUUUAUGACUUCAAUUUUGGAAUUUAUUUAAGUUCUAAAUUUUUGAAAAUUCUAAUUUUCAAUAUGUAUGUUCGUGGCUUUAUAUACUGUGAAUGAGGAUUUGCUACAAUUUAGUAUUGGCAAAUUUUAAUGGAGUGAAGCCUAGAAAAAAUGUUCCCCUCGCUAUCCGGUGCAACCAUCAAUGUAGCAUUUGGACGUUGGGAAACAACAUUUGAAAUUCAUGUUUAUUGAUACAUAUAAUUUUUAGAAUACGUUGAUAUACUUAACGACACUGAUCAUAUCUCAAGUUACAAUACACGAGUUUUCCCAAUGCGUUUUUACUCAGUAGUUGUCUACAUAUGAAUCUGUCGAAUCCAAUCAUGUAUUUGUUAAGUGCAUGCAUUUUAAGUAAUCGUUGAAGAUUAAGAGAGAAGUGAAAGGAUGUGUUAUUUACAAACCUCAAGGUAUUUCAAAAUUGAUAUCUAAAAAUAUCCGAAUGCUAGACCCUGAGUUGCUCACUAAUUUAAUACUUGAAUCUUGAAGCUAUAAACGCUUUAAAUACAUGAAGGAAAUACCAAAAUGGCUAUAAGAACGAAACUAAAAGAUUGAAACAGAAGAUCUAAAGACUAGACUGAAACAGAAAAUCUUUGAGCUGCUAGAGCAAUUGUCCAUCCUUGCCACUCUGUAUAAGUCAACUCCAAAUUCUUGACCAUAUCCCCUCGCAACCAAUCUUGCCUUAUGCUUUUUAACUUACCUGUUUUCGUUCAACUUUGGUUUGUCAACCCUCUUCACACCGACUAAGGACCAUGUUUGGACCUUUUCAAUGAUAUCGAUCUCACGGUCCAUUGCCAUUCUCCACUUCAUCUCUUUAGCUGCAUCUUCAUAGCGUAUCAGAUCCUGAUUGAUUGUUUCCACAACAUGCAACUCAUCUUCGUCUGAGGUUAAAAAAAUCUCUUGUGGCAUAAUCUUACAAGUACACAUGUCGUUUUUGUUGUCUUCCCUCUGUGGCUUAGUUAUUGUUAGGACCAGAGGCGAAAUCAAGGGUAGUGCCUUGGUGCUUUGAUUAAUCAAUUUGUUUACUAUCUUCAUCAUUGAAGAUGUAGUGUUUCAUCAGUUUAGUUAUAGUUUCCCCAUUUGAGUUCUUCUUCACCUUCAACUUAUUUUUCUUCAAUUUUACUUUAGUCCCAACCUUUGUUCUCUUCAAAGAUCACAUCAUAAGCAACCCCAAACACGAAAAUGAUCAACUGUUGGCUUCACCUUGCUCCAAGCUUUCUUGUGGGGUCAUAUCAAGAAGGGCCUUAGUUGUACUUUUAUUUAGCACAUAGAAACUCCACCGUGUGGCUUUAACCCAAAACAUCUUGGGCUUGUUUUUUGCAGCUAGCAAAGUCACCACCAUAUUUAUCACUGUUCUUUUCUUGUGUCUUGCAACCCUAUUCUAUUGUGGGGUAAAGCUUGUGGUCAAUUGUCGUUUGAUCCCAUGUUUCUUGCAAAAAUUUCUGAAGUCAUUAGAUAGGUACUCUCCUCCCCUGUCUGUUCGGAUAGCUUUAACCACCUUUCCAGUUUUAGUCUCCAUGUUUCUCUUGAAUUCAUUGAAGCUUUCAAGGGUCUGUGACUUUUUUUACAACAAAUAAACCCAACCCUUGCGACUGUAGUCAUUAAUAAAGCUAAAAAAUUAUCUCUUUCCUGAUUGAGAUGCUGGUGUAAUUGGCCCAUAUAUGUGAGAGUGCACCAACUCCAACAUUUCUUCAGCACAUCGUGUACUUGAUUUCGGAAUGGCUUCUUUAGUUUGCUUUCCCUUUAUAUAAUCCCUACAGUUGUGUCCAAAACAAAGUAUCGUCAUUCAUGUACAGACAUUCAUUCGUCUUUUGAUCUGCAACUUCAUUGGCAUUUUCACUUGGUGCAAACAUCCUGUUUGUGCUCAUAUAACAUUAUUGCCAUUCUCCACUUCAUAUCUUUAGUUGCAUCUUCAUAGUGUGUCGGAUCAUGAUUGAUUGUUUCAACAACAUACAACUCAUUUUCAUCUGAGGUUAACACUUCUCUUGUGACGUAAUCUCGCAAGUAUACAGACCGUAUUUGUUGUUUUCCAUCCUUGGCCUGGUUAUUGUUGGGACCAGAGUCGGAAUCAAGAGUAGCGCCUUGGUGAUAUGAUCUUCAAUUUCUUCAUUAUCAUAUGUUCAUCAAUGUAGUCAUAAUAUUCCCAUGUGAGUUCUUCACAUGCAUCCUUUUUUUUCCUUCAAUUUUACUACACUCCCAACCUUUGUUCUCUUCAAAGAUCACAUCUUUACUUGUUACUACUUUCAUUGUUUCAGGGUUUAUGAGCCGAUAUCUCUUUGACUCUUCACUUACACCUUAACACACAAACAAAACUAUUGUUAUCUAGUAUUGCUAACUAAUUCAAUACUUUAUUCAUGAGGUCAAAAAGGCUUUAAAUACAAGAAGGAAAAUAAUAAAAUGACUAUAAAAAUGGAACUGAAAGAGUGAAACAGAAAAGCUAAAGACUAGGUAGACUAAAUAAACACAUGUGCAACUCUUGGUUGACUAGUCAAUCUUAUUUGAUUUCCUUUAUUGCAAUCCUAAAUACUCCAACAAACUGUAAGUACACUUUCAACAAAAUUUAUCCUAUUAUAGCUGCAAGAUUUUGAAAGCCAAGUUGUUGACUUAAACAUAGCUUUGAAGUUCACAGAAGCAAAACUUAAAGCAUCAUCAACCUUCUUUUGAGCAUCCGAAGAAUCCCUAACAAAAUGGACAGAAACUUGACAAAUGAUAUAAAUGCAUGUGUUACUCUUUGAUGAUAAGAUUCCACAAAUUUUAAGGUUUAUGGUUCCUUUACACUCUUUGAGGCCACUUAAAAUAUUCACAUCAUAAAUGUAAGGGUCUCAUGAAUAUUAAACAAGUUAUUGGUCAAAACUGGUAUCUCUUAGGAAGAGGUUUGAUACACUCGACGACUUACUCAACCUGUAAGAUAUUUGACAUUAACGAACAAUUUAUUAUACCGAUCUUCAAGCUUAUAGAAAGAACACUUAAUUGUGUAGUAAGGGUGAACAUUCCGAUGGAAUAAGAUCUGAUUGGUUCUUGGAUUUGACUUUGUUGAGAUAUGUUGACCUUGGAUUGAAUUUGUUGAGGCUUAUCGGGUAUAUAUUUGGAUUUUCACGUUCUUUUACCUUACGUAUCGGUACAUAAGGUGCAACUUGUUGAAAGUUAGUUUGUUUGUUAUGAGCAUAAAUAUAGUACAAAACUAAAAAAGACAAAAUCAUAGUAUAAAAAAAUUGCUGAAAAGUUUGAAAAAUUCUAGCUUUAAAAUCCAAACUCAACGGGCCUAAAAUGUAAAACGUAUGACAAUUCCUAUGUGUUGAUGCAGGAUUUAAAACUCUACAAACCCUAGAAGGGUUAGAUUUUCGUUCAAGGAGGGUGUAAAAAGGGGUUGCAUUUUGAAGGAAAGAGUUAGCAUCUAGUGUUUGAUCCAUGGUUGUUAGAAAUAUCAUCCAUAAUUAAUGACUUUAGAUGCUAUUGCAAUCGGUCUUUCAUUUGGAUAAAUCAACAACUGUUUUAAUGUCUUUAGAUAUUAUUUCAAUCAGUCUCUUAUUUAUUUGGAUAAAUCAAUAACUAUAUGAAAUCUAAUAUUUUUAAAUAAUCAAAAGAGAGUAGGUUCUAAACAUGCAAAAUGAACACAAUAAUAAUGAAUUAACAGAAAUGGUAGCAAAACCAGCUUAAAUUAACACAAAUGGUAGCCAAACCAACUUAUUAUUAACUCACCACAAAAUAAUCAUCAAAUUAGUUAUACUUUUAUUUUUUAUAAGUUUCAAAGUAUAUGAUAUAUGCAUAUCUAUAUACAUAUUUUACAUAAUAUCUUAAUAUUUCUAGUCAUUUUUAUGCCCUUUAUAUAACAAAAAGGUACAUAAUCUAUUGUAUGAUGUGUUGUAGUGGUAAAAUAGAUGCUCGGAGCAAAAAAGAAGUUGAAAGUUGGAAGCUAGGAAUUUGGAUGACGAUAAAAAAAUGAAGAAAAAUACACUCUCCACGUUGUGGCAACAUUCCCACGACGUGGCUUUUUGGAUUUUCCCGAUGAAUCUAGAAGACUUGUUGAAUACAAGAUAAACACGAAGGCCACGACUUCGUGGUGAUAUGUUUUCGGGAAAACUAUACAUUGAAGCCAUUAUCCUCCGAAAAUAGAACUUUGGCCAGAAGCUAUUGUCGUCUUUUGAAGGCCGAGUACCCACUUUGAAGUUUGGAGUUGCGAAAGUCGAUCAUAGCUUGGAAUCGAGAUAAUUGAGGCAAUACAACAUUCUAUUACGAUUUUCUACUUAAGUUUAAUCUUGUCUAUUAUGAUGAAUUUUGUUUUGCUGUUUUUACUUGCUGAAAUCAUGGGCUAAAACCCUAUGACUUUCGUUAAGUUUAGAUUGACUUUUUAUGUCUUGAUUUAUGGUUUAAGUUAUGUUUUGUUGGUUAUUUGUUACUUUACCUUAUUAAAGAACCUUCUAUGCUUAUGAGAACUACUUUUAUGUUUAUUGCCAAGUUUAAUUUAGAUUGCAUGCUCAUCUUUCUUUUAUUGAACUUGAAUCUUAUGAUCUUUGUGAACAGCAAAAUUAUAGGACUAAUGUUUUGACCAAAACCUAGUGUUAAAUAGAAAAAGCGGGUAAGUAAUUGUAGGAUCUAAUAUAUGACGACCGAUCAUAUAUCGUAUUGAUUCAAUAAACCAAUUUGAUCAAUCUAUUAUAAGUCUAAUUUAACUCGAACCAGACACUAGUAGACUUGUUAGUUUAUCCGCCUGAUCACCGUAUGAAUGAAAUUGUUUACUAAAGAAUUAAGUUAGUGAACAUUAACUUAGUCAUAUUAUAAAUUGGUAACCAACAAAACUAUAAUUCAUUGCACUUUCAUAAAUCAACCAUAAUAGCAAGUAUAUCGAAGCUAAACGAAAGUCUCUCAAUUACUUUGGUUUAAAUCGUUUUUUGUGUUUCUUGCUUUUAGUUUUAAUAUUUUCUUUAAUAAAUGAUAGUUAUUUAGUUUAAUUAAUUAAGUUUCUAGAUCUGCAAAACUAGAGAAAACUAUUUUUCUUAUUUUCAUAGUAAUUAGGUAGUUAGUAGAUAAGAAUUAGUUAAUCAUUAUGUUUCAUGUGUGAUACCUGACUAUUGUGCUGUAUUAUUUUCGACAAGGUACACUGCCUAGGAUGUAAUAAUUAGUUACAUUAGUAGGAUUAACUAGUACAUAAUUAUUUACGCAUCAAGUUUUUUAUGCUGUUAUCGGAGAACAAUCCAUUUUUAGUUAAUUUGAAUAUGUUAUUUUAUUAGGAUUUUUUUCUGUCUAUUUUCUUUUAUAUUUUCGUUUUAGUUUUUUUCUUCUGUUUGGUUUAUCAUGUCGUGGUCAUUAACACCACAUUGUGGUGUCGUAUCAGUUAAGUUCUAUUUUUUCUUUUUUGUUCUUUUCACUCGUUUCAUUUGUUUUUGUUUCAAUGAUUUAUGACUCGGGAAUCUAAGACGUUAAAUCAUUUUACCGUUUGAUGAUCCCGAUUUAGAAUUCGAUAAGUAGAAAACAACCAAACUCGGAGAAUCAAGAAACCAAACUCUAGAAAGCUAUUAACAUUAACUUUAUCCUAUUAAACUAUUAACAUUAUCCUACUAAGUUUUUUAAAACUUAAACAAAAUAAUUUAGCAAAAAUAUUGCCAACCAAAAAAAGAAAAUAAAAAUGUAGGUCACUAUACAACACUGAAUUCAACUAUGAUGAUUUUGCACAAAUAUAUUUAAAAAAUAUAACUGUUAUCUUAGGAAUGACUUUUUUUUUUUUUUUUUUUUUUUUUUUUUUUUUUUUUUUUNAAUUUCAAUAUCCUAAAUAAAUAACCGUUCAGAAGGCCUUUAACCUAAUCGGCCGGAUCGAAACAAGCUUGUUAAUCUCAGCCGUCUAUUAUAUCAACAAUCGGAUCUAACCAGGUUGCCCUUCCUCUAUAUAACAACUCGUUUCCUCUUUCCCGAACUCAGCUUUCAAUUAGGGUUUACGUUUUAUCAAACAUCUGAUUAUUUCUCCGCCGUUGGAGUCUACAAGGUAAUCGUCUUCGUAUUCUUUUUAGAUUAAACUUUAUCAAAUAUGUUUCAUAGCCCUAUCUCUCCUUCUCAAUGCGAAUGAAAUGCAUCUAUUUCCAAUUUUUAUGUUUUCCUGCGAAUUCACUAAGGCUUCGCUAAUCUGGUCGGCAUGAAUUUUAUUAGUUUCUGUCUGACUCGUUCCCUUGAAGCAAAAUUAAGCGUGCUGUUUUUAGAUUUUUAUAAUUUUCAAUCGAUUUUCAUUGGAGAACACUUAAGCAGCUACAUAUGUUCAUUAAGUUAAACAAAUGAAGCAUUCAAAAUCAAUCAUUAGAAACCACUUACGAUACUUUUCGAGAUUUUCUUUUUUAUUGUAAUUUGGGGAAAAUGUGACUGUGAUGAGCCAAUACAGACCUGUAAUGACUUGCGAAAAUGAUCGCAACUUAUGAACAUCUAAGGGACUGAGUCUCGAUUCCCUCAUUUUAUUUAUGACUUCAAUUUUGGAAUUUAUUUAAGUUCUAAAUUUUUGAAAAUUCUAAUUUUCAAUAUGUAUGUUCGUGGCUUUAUAUACUGUGAAUGAGGAUUUGCUACAAUUUAGUAUUGGCAAAUUUUAUUCGGGAUCCUCGUCACCAUCCCGGGUCAACCUGAGGAUUCCCCAGUCAAAACGGGUGCGGUUAUCAGGUUCCCCAUUGGAUAUGUGGCUUUUUGCCAUCUCUAGUAAUGAAAACCCUCAAAUGAAAUCUAAUUUGCUUUAGAAGAUAGUAACUUUUAACUUGGAAACUUCUAAACCCUAUCAAAGAUAGUAACUUCUAACUUGGAAACCGCCCUAUCUUCUUUAAGUUAAUAUUAAAAUAAUAAUAAUAAUACCUUGUUUUUAGUGAAGUGUCAUUAAAUGAAUAUAUAACCAUAAAUAUGAUUUUAUAGUCUAAAAUGAAGUACAAGUACUUAAACUACAUAUUGGAAAGAUAUCGUGUUGAUCCCACUUCAACGAAUGAUUAAUGAUAUUUUAAAUAAUUUUACAGAUUAUGUUUGUUAAACUUUCCGUCCAAGACUGGUUAUUCACAUAAUAGGUGAAAAGACCAUAACCGGUAUUGUAGCUUGCUUGGAACCGAUAACCAUGCAUAUAAAGUGGUGCCUGGUCUCCUUCCGGUUGCUCAACCUAGCUAGAACUAAAAAAAAUAAGUUUUUAUUUUGGGUUAAGUAAGUUGUUUGGCUAAAAAAAACUUUUACCAUAUUUUCUAUGUUCAUUGAUAGCAAUUAUCGUUAAUGUUUAUGAGAAGCUCUAACAUGGUAUGAAGUCGGGUUUACAGAUGUUUCUCUCAUUGUGAUUGAAAGAUCUCAUCUAGAAUCCAUAACAACUCUUAAAUGAUAAUAAAGUAAGGAAAAAUGAUACCUUAAGUUAAAUGCUAAUUAUAAAAAUGGAUGAGUUUAAAGAAAUUGUAUAAACAAAUUAAUCUUGAAAACCAAAUCUUAGCUGACAAAAAGAUUAUUGUUUGGCCCAACAUAAGGGAAAAAAGUGAAUCGUAGGUAGUGCCAAUUGCACAUAAAAGCUAAAUAAAGAGUAUAAAGAAAAGUAAUUGUGUAGUUUGAGACGAAAAUAUGUUAAAUGUCUAUAGAUAAUUAUAGUCAUUUGCUUAUUUUAGCGACCGAAUUCAAAUUAAU